rnacentral:misc_RNA from 1 species
GAUGAAGAACGUAGUGAAAUGCGAUACUUGGUGUGAAUUGCAGAAUCCCGUGAACCCUCGAGUCUUUGAACGCAAGUUGCGCCCGAAGCCAUCAGGUUGAGGGCACGUCUGCCUGGGCGUCACAUAUCGUUGCCCAAUGCCUAUUGCAGUGCAAUAGGAAUUUCUAGGGCGAAUGAUGGCUUCCCGUGAGCGUUGUUGCCUCGCGGUUGGUUGAAAAUCGAGUCCUUGGUAGGGUGUGCCAUGGUAGAUGGUGGUCGAGUUAGAACGAUACCGAUCAUGUGCAUGCUCCCCAAAAUAUGGCCUCUAUGACCCACACGCGUCUUUUGACGCUCAUGACGAGACCUCAGGUCAGGCGGGGCUACCCGCUGAAUUUAAGCAUAUCAAUAAGCGGAGGA